rnacentral:rRNA from 1 species
UUGCAUGGCUGUCGUCAGCUCGUGUCGUGAGAUGUUGGGUUAAGUCACCGCAACGAGCGUAACCCUCAUCCUUAGUUACCAUCAGGUAAUGCUGGGGACUUUAAGGAAACUGCUAGUGAUAAACUGGAGGAAGGUGGGGAUGAUGUCAAGUCAUCAUGGCCCUUAUGGAGUGGGCUACACACGUGCUACAAUGGUGGCUACAAUGGGCUGCAAAGUCGCGAGGCCAAGCUAAUCCCUUAAAAGCCAUCUCAGUUCGGAUUGUACUCUGCAACUCGAGUGCAUGAAGUUGGAAUCGCUAGUAAUCGUGGAUCAGCAUGCCACGGUGAAUACGUUCUCGGGUCUUGUACACACUGCCCGUCACGCCAUGGGAAUUGGUUUC